ACUACGGGCGGCAGCAGUGGGGAAUAUUGGGCAAUGGGCGCAAGCCUGACCCAGCAACGCCGCGUGAAGGAAGAAGGCUUUCGGGUUGUAAACUUCUUUUCUCAGGGACGAAGAAAGUGACGGUACCUGAGGAAUAAGCCACGUCUAACUACGUGCCAGCAGCCGCGGUAAUACGAGGGUGGCAAGCGUUAUCCGGAUUUAUUGGGUGUAAAGGGCGUGUAGGCGGGAGCGCAAGUCAUAUGUGAAAACUCAGGGCUCAACCCUGAGCCUGCAUUUGAAACUGUGGUUCUUGAGUGCUGGAGAGGUAAUCGGAAUUCCGGGUGUAGCGGUGAAAUGCGUAGAUAUACGGAGGAACACCAGUGGCGAAGGCGGAUUGCUGGACAGUAACUGACGCUGAGGCGCGAAAGCGUGGGGAGCAAACAGGAUUAGAUACCCGUGUAGUC
rnacentral:rRNA from 1 species